rnacentral:sRNA from 1 species
GGUCUGAAGACAGUGAGUUAUGUCACUUGAUUGUUCACAGUCAGUUACAGAUUGAACUCCUUGUUCUAUUACUUUUACCAUUUCUCACUACUGUGGACAACCUUAA